rnacentral:rRNA from 1 species
GACGAACGCUGGCGGCGUGCCUAAUACAUGCAAGUCGAACGCACAGUUUAUACCGUAGCUUGCUACACCAUAGACUGUGAGUUGCGAACGGGUGAGUAACGCGUAGGUAACCUGCCUGGUAGCGGGGGAUAACUAUUGGAAACGAUAGCUAAUACCGCAUAAUAUUAAUUAUUGCAUGAUAAUUAAUUGAAAGGUGCAAUUGCACCACUACCAGAUGGACCUGCGUUGUAUUAGCUAGUAGGUGAGGUAACGGCUCACCUAGGCGACGAUACAUAGCCGACCUGAGAGGGUGAUCGGCCACACUGGGACUGAGACACGGCCCAGACUCCUACGGGAGGCAGCAGUAGGGAAUCUUCGGAAAUGGACGAAAGUCUGACCGAGCAACGCCGCGGGAGUGAAGAAGGUUUUCGGAUCGUAAAGCUCGGUUGUAAGAGAAGAACGGGUGUGAGAGUGGAAAGUUCACACUGUGACGGUAUCUUACCAGAAAGGGACGGCUAACUACGUG